rnacentral:rRNA from 1 species
AUGGCAAUUGUCCAUACAUACGGGAAGCCAAAAAUCUUCUUGACCAUGACUUGCAAUCCUAAAUGGGAAGAGAUAACGAAUGAGUUGCUGCCUGGUCAGACGGCGCAAGACCGACCUGAUCUUGUGGCUCGCGUGUUCUUCGGCAAACUAGAGGCUAUGAAGGACAUGUUGUUCAAGAAGCACAUCCUGGGUGUUGUUGUCGCAUAUGUGUAUGUUGUCGAGUUUCAAAAAAGAGGCCUC